rnacentral:rRNA from 1 species
GAGUUUGAUCGUGGCUCAGAUUGAACGCUGGCGGCAGGCCUAACACAUGCAAGUCGAGCGGAUGACGGGAGCUUGCUCCUUGAUUCAGCGGCGGACGGGUGAGUAAUUCCUAGGAAUCUGCCUGGUAGUGGGGGACAACGUUUCGAAAGGAACGCUAAUACCGCAUACGUCCUACGGGAGAAAGCAGGGGACCUUCGGGCCUUGCGCUAUCAGAUGAGCCUAGGUCGGAUUAGCUAGUUGGCGGGGUAAUGGCUCACCAAGGCGACGAUCCGUAACUGGUCUGAGAGGAUGAUCAGUCACACUGGAACUGAGACACGGUCCAGACUCCUACGGGAGGCAGCAGUGGGGAAUAUUGGACAAUGGGCGAAAGCCUGAUCCAGCCAUGCCGCGUGUGUGAAGAAGGUCUUCGGAUUGUAAAGCACUUUAAGUUGGGAGGAAGGGCAGUAAGUUAAUACCUUGCUGUUUUGACGUUACCGACAGAAUAAGCACCGGCUAACUCUGUGCCAGCCGCCGC